rnacentral:rRNA from 1 species
GGGCCCGCACAAGCGGUGGAGCAUGUGGUUUAAUUCGAUGCAACGCGAAGAACCUUACCAGGGCUUGACAUACUGCGAAUCUCCUUGAAACAGGAGAGUGCCUUCGGGAACGCAGUGACAGGUGGUGCAUGGCUGUCGUCAGCUCGUGUCGUGAGAUGUUGGGUUAAGUCCCGCAACGAGCGCAACCCACGUCUUUAGUUGCCAGCAUUUAGUUGGGCACUCUAGAGAGACUGCCGGUGAUAAACCGGAGGAAGGUGUGGAUGACGUCAAGUCAUCAUGCCCCUUACAUCCUGGGCUACACACGUACUACAAUGCUACGGACAAAGGGCUGCAAGUUCGCGAGGACAAGCAAAUCCCAUAACCGUGGCUCAGUUCAGAUCGUAGGCUGCAACUCGCCUACGUGAAGGCGGAAUCGCUAGUAAUCG